UCAGGCUCACCCACUUCCCAUCAACCAGUCUGAGUGGGGUGCUCAAUAGAUGCCUGAACAAGGCUUGAUAUUGAAAGUAACAGACCCGAAGGAGACACAUGUCCCUCUUGCUGCAUAAGUCAAAGAUAUGACUCCUUGGUUUUUUGUCUUCUACGUUGGAACUGAAAUUGGACCUGCAGCUGCGGAACAAGCUUCCUGAAGAUCAGUCCAGUGGGGGAAGCAGGCUCGAUGGAUCACUGACCACAUUACAGAGUUCUGCAUAUCGGGAUAGCAGCAGAACAAGGAUGCUACAGGAAGAUGAAGGAGGAACAUCUACAGCAGCCAUCAAGUUCAGAUGGCUUCCCAGUGGGCAACCUGAGCCCUGAGCUAAGUAUUUCAAACUGCUGGAUUCUUGACAGGAAGACACUGACAAAAGUCACCUGGGCCACCAAAUAAGAAUGAUGUCAUAAUGAUA